CCACGGAGGGCGCAAGCGUUGCUCGGAAUCACUGGGCGUAAAGCGGGUGUAGGCGGUCUAGCAAGUCAGAUGUGAAAGCCCACGGCUCAACCGUGGAAGUGCAUCUGAAACUGCUAGACUUGAGUGCCGGAGAGGGAAGUGGAAUUCCUGGUGUAGGGGUGAAAUCCGUAGAUAUCAGGAGGAACACCGGUGGCGAAGGCGACUUCCUGGACGGCCACUGACGCUGAGACCCGAAAGCGUGGGGAGCAAACAGGAUUAGAUACCCUAGUAGUCC
rnacentral:rRNA from 1 species